rnacentral:tRNA from 1 species
GUUCCCAACCUUAAAAAAAAAUAAAAACCGCUUUUCCGGCCGUUUAUCCCGGAAAAAGGCCCAGGGGGAACU